AUUGAACGCUGGCGGCAUGCCUUACACAUGCAAGUCGAACGGUAACAGGUCUUCGGAUGCUGACGAGUGGCGAACGGGUGAGUAAUACAUCGGAACGUGCCCGAUCGUGGGGGAUAACGAGGCGAAAGCUUUUCUAAUACCGCAUACGAUCUACGGAUGAAAGCGGGGGAUCUUCGGACUUCGCCCGGACGGAGCGGCCGAUGGCAGAUUAGGUAGUUGGUGGGAUAAAAGCUUACCAAGCCGACGAUUUGUAGCUGGUCUGAGAGGAUGAUCAGCCACACUGGGACUGAGACACGGCCCAGACUCCUACGGGAGGCAGCAGUGGGGAAUUUUGGACAAAGGGCGAAAGCCUGAUCCAGCCAUGCCGCGUGCAGGAUGAAGGCCUUUGGGUUGUAAACUGCUUUUGUACGGAACGAAAAGCCUCUUUCUAAUAAAGAGGGGUCAUGACGGUACCGUAAGAAUAAGCACCGGCUAAGUACGUG
rnacentral:rRNA from 1 species